GGGGUUGUAGUUUAAAAAUAACAUUUAAUUUGCAAUUAAAAAAUACUUUCAUAAGAAUAGUCUACCUCA
rnacentral:tRNA from 1 species